rnacentral:rRNA from 1 species
AUGAAAUGCAGCAAACAGAUUCAUAAUGCCAGUACACGCACUUGUAAUCAUCGAGUAUUGAAUAUGCUCAUGGCUUCCAUUACAACCAGAACGCCACAGGAUCCCGCAACUCGUGGAUCUCUGACGGCGCAGGCAGCUGGUAGCAUCCAACCCGGCGUGGUGUGGCUGGUGUCUCAGCCCGCAGGUCUCCUUUCUUGUCAUACAGGAGAGAGAACGCCGUCAUCGAAGCCUAUAGCGAGGAGACGACGGUGGCAUGGCCUCCUCCAUCUCCGGCUCGUCAUUACCAGAGCUGCCGGCGGCAUCGUCUUCAACAACGGAGAAGUACUGCACAAGGCAGAAGCGUGCGACUCCCACGUAGACGAGGCUGGCUCCGACGUGUUGCUCGGCUGGGUCCUCGCAGAAGAGCUUCUCCUUGCUAAGCUUCCACGCCGGCGGGGACUCCAUGUUGCUGCUGGGGUCGGUGGGCACGACGUCGCAGGAGCAGAGGUAGCCGAGCGUGUCCGGGGAGUCGCCGGAGAGCCCGACCCAGGCGUCGAGCCUGGGGUCAAAGUGCGCACGGCCAGCGAAGGGCAGCUUCCACUCGCCAUGGCGCCUCCACGCAGCACCCCUAGACGCUGUGUCGAGGGAGAAAGUGGCGGCCUUGGAGCUGACGAAGACGGUCCGGCCGUCCGGGUGCGCGCAGUGGGCGGUCAUGUCCUCCAGAUCGAACGGAGGGUUCGGGAGCCUAUCCUGGGACCCCCAUCCCCACAGACACGGACGGAGCAGCUCCGAGGAGUCGUCGUCAAGGGCGGCGAGCUUCCCGCCGACGGGCAGAUACAUGGGCCAGGUGGGUCGCGAGCCGUUGCGAGGGACGAGGGCGAUGCACCGCGUGCGGACGCCGAAGACGGGGACGAUGCGCUCGCACUGGCUGGUAUCCAUGACCAUGAUCUUGUUGCCUUUAGCCGCGAAGAACCUGCUCGCCGGAGCCUCAAGGCGGACGACGGCCCUCGGAAGGCGCUGCGCCGUCGCGUGGCCGUCGUCAUCGGCGGAGGACGGAGGGUCCGACGGUAG